UUCAUACAAGGAAAUAUAUUGCAAACACAUGGCUAGCAUCUUAUUAACUUGAAUUACUCAACUACAAGUUCUGUUACUGUUUUAGACGAUAUUUUCUGAUGAAAUACGAGCAGUCGCAAGAAAAUUCAAUUCACAUACUACCAACCAAGCAUGACACAAGAAAAUACAUGCUAAUUGUAAAACAUAGUUCUUUUGUAUCUGUUAUGGACAAAAGUAAUAUGAAAACUCCAUUCUGCGAAGUAACAUUGAAUGUGAAAUAGCUCAUCCUUACGUAUCAAAAUCAGCUGUGCGUCGCAUCCAACGACCAGUUCAAAUAUCUUUACCUUGUUGCUUAAUCUGUACAUCUCAGUAUAUAUCAAAAGAAAAACAGUAUUUGUAGCAGGACACAUACACCAGUCAUUAUAUUGUGUUAGCCUUAACAACCAUAGAGUGCCACUAGUUGAGGGGCAAGAAAACGAUAUAGAAAACACUUAAUGGACAAAAAAUUUGAAACACUAGGGGGGAAAUUGCACAUAAGAAUUUCAACUUGAGUCAAAUCUAAUGCUUGUCCUCCUUAGGAAUGUCCUUUUUAGGUAUCUCCUUUGGCUUUGGCUUCUCCAUUUCCCUACAAAAACAACAAUAUAUGUCAUGUUCAACUGACACACACAUGACACAACAUAAGGACUGCAACUAAUUAACUGAACAAGCAAAAUGGAAAGAUGCAAUUUACAAAGGGAAACAAGUUAAUACAACGUCAAAAUAUAAGACUUAAAACAAGGAGAUAAGAAGAAUAGAAUCUGGAUAUAACCUAUAACAAGCUAUCGAAAUAUAUCAUAGAACUAGUGUUAUCAAAGGCGAAAAGCGCAAAAAAGCUCUAAGGCCCGUUGGGGCUUUAAGCGCAAAGCGCAAAUAAAGCGUGAGCUUUAAUGAAAAAAGGCGCAACUAGAGGAAAAAGUAAAAAUAUGUAUAUGUAGUCCAAGACCAAUAAUUAUAAGCAUGAAUAACAAAUACAUGGACAAAAAAAGUUGAAGAAAAAAUAACGAUAAAGUGAAAUAUCAAUUGUUCAGUAUCGCAUUUUUAGGAUUACACUCAUUGGCAAGGAAAGUAUGCCUUAGAGCCUUGAUGCGACACCGAAGCGCCCGCAAAGCGAGGGAAAACGCUCAACAUGUUUUGAUCCUCGCUUUAGGGCUUAAACGCGCGCUUUAAGCGCGCCUUUGACAACACUGCAUAGAACUAUAAAUAACAUAGUAAUCAAUUUGAUGAGUCAUAACAUAUAUAAUUAUUGCAAAGGUAUCGAGGACACAUACCAUUAAGAAGUUUAAGGAUAUAGCAUAACCUGACAAAACAUUAAUGAUUCGCAAUGUGCUUGCCCGGGCUAGGGGGCAAUCCGACUUUUUUCUGCUAUUCCGAUGUAUGGUUACGUUUUAGUAUUCAUAGGGAAUGCAGUUUAAUUUUCUAACUAUGCAUAAAAUAAAUCAAUUCUACUGUUAAGAAAAUUGCUUAUGCCCUCAAAAUAUGGGACACUUAAUAACCCCCCUUUCCCCUUCUAGAAUUGGACAUUUGCUACAUGGAUAAUGUACCAUGGGAGUACAACAAUGGGUAAAGUAAAAAUAGGAAUGGGUUGGACUCUUACCAUGUUGAAGGAACAACUCAUCCCCUCAACCAAUGUGGAAACAUCUACAUAUUCAACUUAUAUUGAUAAAUUAAAGUUACGCAGAAUGAUACAAAUUUUGAUGUACAAACAAAAGAAUAUAACACUUGAUUUAAAAGAAGUAAGAACUGAUAACAAAUCGGGACACAAAUUGAUGACACCAGACUCAUGUCCAAGUGGUGUCAUACAAGUUUAAGGCUAAAACACGAACAUGACAUCAAUAAGUGAACAUGUGUAUUUAGUGCCUGUUCUACAUAACCGCCAAAACAUGAUCAUAUACGUGAGACAAUUGCAAACUUGAACAAAGUUAAAUGCUAUUCUGAGAAAACAAAAACCAUUUACCACUGAUGUCUUGAAAAUCUAAGAAAUUUACCCAAAAAGAAAAUCUUUGGCCUUAAAAGGAAACAUAAGAUAUAAAUAUCUCUCUAUGAAAAUAAAGAGAAAACAACAGAUUUUGCUUCCACAUGAACUAGGAAAUAGAAAAAUAAAUCAACUUAUGAGCGUACUUCACUAAUGACUUUAAACCUUAAGCACUUUGCACUCAGAAACCCACCCAAAUGACUUGAAGUGCUUCCUUCAGUAAACAGAUAUGGCAGUAUUAUUAAAAGCAAAAAAAAUGUUACAGUUUGUUGGACUUUAAGUGCAAACGAAGAAUGGGCUUUGUGAAGAAAGGCGCAAAUUAUUAUAUAUAUAAAAGUUAAGAAUCAUAACUAUAAAUACAGAUACAAAUAUACAAUUAUAUGGACAAAGGAAUUGAAAAUAUUUCUAUAAUUAAGUGAGUAGUUACUAUUGUUUAGUGCUGCCGCUUCAAGACAGAGCUAAUGAGUGAUGAGACAUUUGUUCAAUUUCCAUGAAUGAAUAGUAUUGAAGUCAGUUACCUAUAGUUAGUUAGCUCUAAUUAGUUGACAGUUCUUUGUAAUCAUAGUUAGUUGACAACUGGCAGUGGUUAGUCAGGUGGUUAAGUUGUUUAUUAAGUAGCUUAGUUAGAACUUGUAUAUAGAGAUACUUGUACGCGUUUUCCUUCAUUUUCUAGUACAAUACACAGAAAUAAUUUCCUAGCUUCCUCUUAUGCUUCUCUCUCAGAACUUCUCUUCUCUGGCAGCCGUAGCCAAGCUUGGAGCUUGAGCUCAGAUUUAUAAAACUUACAAAUAGGUAAUGGCUUCUUACGAAAACAACAUUUCCACUAAUUUUUAUGAGAGGUCUCAUCACAAGCUUCGAUAGGAACAACUCGGCCUACUUUUUAUGGGAGACUAGCUCAGUAAAUUUGAAUAUUUGAAACUUGCAAAAAAAUGUACGAGACGCACACACUUUUAUUACCACAUUAUAUAGAGUUACUUGCAUAUGAUAAGACAGCUAUUCCAAAGCCAUUUGCGUGCAGAAAGAGGAUAUGAAGACACUAAAGUUGCAAUACAAAAACGUCACCUAAGCGAGGCGAAGUGCUCAGAUUUUUUGCACCUAGCUUCAGGGUUUAAGCACACCUUAGACUAGCUUUUGACAACAGUGGAAUAUUGUUGUGUUUUGCUCUA
rnacentral:lncRNA from 1 species